rnacentral:rRNA from 1 species
CCUACGGGUGGCAGCAGUGAGGAAUAUUGGUCAAUGGACGCAAGUCUGAACCAGCCAUGCCGCGUGCAGGAAGACGGCUCUAUGAGUUGUAAACCGCUUUUGUACGAGGGUAAACGCAGAUACGUGUAUCUGUCUGAAAGUAUCGUACGAAUAAGGAUCGGCUAACUCCGUGCCAGCAGCCGCGGUAAUAAGGAGGAUUCAAGCGUUAUCCGGAUUUAUUGGGGUUAAAGGGUGCGUAGGCGGUCGUAUAAGUUAGAGGUGAAAUCCUGAGGCUCAACUUCGGAAUUGCCUCUGAUACUGGUCGGCUUGAGAGUGGUUGCGGUAGGCGGAAUGUAUGGUGUAGCGGUGAAAUGCUUAGAGAUCAUGCAGAACACCGAUUGCGAAGGCAGCUUACCAAGCUACUUCUGACGUUGAGGCACGAAAGCGUGGGGAGCAAACAGGAUUAGAUACCCGUGUAGUC